CAGAAAAUAGUUUAAUUAAAAAAAUGUUAGUUUUGGGAGCUGAUGACGGGAGGAAUUUCUCUUUUCUGA
rnacentral:tRNA from 1 species